AUUGAACGCUGGCGGCAGGCCUAACACAUGCAAGUCGAACGGUAACAGGAAGAAGCUUGCUUCCUUGCUGACGAGGGGGGGAGGGGUGAGACAUGUCUGUGAAAUAGCCUGAUGGAGGGGGAUAACUACUGGAAACGGUAGCUAAUACGGCAUAACGUUGCAAGAGCAUAGAGGGGGAGUGUAGGGCGGUUUGCCAUCGGCUGAGCGCAGAAGCCAGUAGGGAUUAGCUAGUUGGUCGGGUAACGGCUGACCAAGGCAACGAUGCCUAGCUGACCUGAGAGGGUGAUCGGCCACACUGGAACUGAGACACGGUCCAGACUCCUACGGGAGGCAGCAGUGGGGAAUCUUGCACAAUGGGCGCAAGCCUGAUGGAGCAAUGCCGCGUGUAUGAAGAAGGCCUUCGGAUUGUAAAGUACUUUUAGCGGGGAGGAAGGGAGUUGUGUUUAUACCUUUGCUUCUUGACGUUACCCACACAAGAAGCCCCGGCUAACUCCGUG
rnacentral:rRNA from 1 species